rnacentral:lncRNA from 1 species
AUGAAGAAAAGCCACAAAGACAUUAUAAAAGAAGAUCCUGAGGACCUGGGGGAGGAGUGGUCCAGCCUCAGGUCAGUCGUGGCCGCUCCUUCUGCCACCAUGGUCCUUGUAGAUGAGGUAACUGAUGAAAAUGAUACUUAUACAGAAAUUAUCACUCCAGUGACGAACAAUCAGGAUGAAGAAGAAGUCAGAGGGUUCUGUGGGAGCCUGAGAUUCCGUUUCGGAAAUGACAAGGCUCCUCUGAAAAGCCAAGCUUGUCCAUGGAAACACGCUCUCUGCCGGCAGCCGUUGGACCCAUCCUGUGCAGGGGUUGACUUCCCUCUGAAAGUGGUACGAUGACACGUCACCACGGUAAUGUGCUUGUGCACUUCUUGCCUCAUGGUCAGGCUGUCGCUCUGUGGCCUGAGAGGUUUGUACGUGGUGGCCAGUGUGACGCUCUCACUUCACGGCUCAUGCUUUAGGAAUGGGCAAUCUCAAUCACUGUUCCUAAGGUAAGUUUACAUUGCUCCCCCGAGUGGCUGUUCCUUCAGAUGGGCUCGCUCACUUUGUCUCCUGCAUUUUUCCUUCUUGUGUUUUUCUUCUCAUUUCUACCCCUCUGAGCUAUCUCUAGAGUUAUGCGUAUAACUUCCGGGUUCGUUGUCUUAAUUAAUAUGUCUGGUCCACCUGCCUCAGAUUCAUCACCCGUCAUUGUUGUGACGCUUGGACUGUCACUUGGUUACCCCUCAUGUGGGUCCUGUUUGCACUUCCUCACCUUCAACAGGACUGAGUAUCAGAGGAGAUGAAAAUAGGUACUGUCCAUGAGCUGCGAAGCAUCGUUCCCAUGAAGAUGCUGGGGAAUAAGCUUCCACCCUUCCCGACUUGAGGCAUCCAUUUACCCCCUUUGGUUUUCAGCCACCACUGACUGUCUAGCUUACUCUUGCCAUCACUCAAGGCUGAACGCAUACGGAGCAUUGACGAGGCACCCGUCCUUCCUUUUUCUAAAAUGUUACCCGUACUUCAUGAAGUCGUCCUCAUAACAUCAUACUAAAAGUCAGCCUUCUAGAAUACCAUUUCCACCUCGUAGAACAGGGCAUCGAGGCCCUUAGGGAUCUACAACCCUUUCCCCAGGUUCAUGAUUCUUCUGAAUGUGUUUGAACCAGACCAUCAGGCACGAUCACUCUUCCUUUGCUGUGUUUCUAGAAGGUCUCAGUUAAACAAAGGUGGUUGUUCAAAAAUCCUGUCUGUUGGUUGUUUUAAACUGCAUGAUCCUUCUAAGUCUGACCUUGAUCCAGGCAGCACUCCUGGGCAGCUGGUGAGCCAGGGGACCAAAAGAUUAAAUGGAAUAAAUGAGUACAAAUUUCCCUACGGUCUUCUGAC